CGACACAACCACCACCACCACCAGCUCUGGUGUCACCACCUCCACCGCCGUUACGUAUUUAGUUUCUUGUUUGGAAUAUUUUUUUCCCAUAGAGGAACUGUAAAAUGAAGUAGGUGUAAGAAAAUGCAGUAAAGUUACUGGUUUUUUGUUUCUUGUUGAGGAAGAACUUCUUUUUCUAGAAAAGAAACGCUUAAAGGGUUAAUGUUAGUGCAGCAGGAUUAGCACAUUAUUUCAGGCAUUACAGCACAUCAGCAUUAGCACAGCAUCACAAUUCUGUAACAACAUUAUUUUAGGCAUGACAACAUCACAAGCAGAACAACAUUACAUACAAACGCAAAACAGCAUCACAUAACAGUGAUAAUAAGAUUAAGAUGCUGUGAUGCUGAGGGUCAGAUUAUGAUGUUGUGCUGUUAGGUCUAAGAUAAUAAUGAUGUGAUGUCUAAGAUACCCUGUGAUGCUGUUAGAUCUAAGAUAAUGAGGCUGUAAUGCUGUUAUGUCUAAGAUAAAGAUGAUGUGAUUCUGUUGUCUAAGAAUAACACAACAGCAACACAGCAUCACCACCAGUACCCAGGCAUCAUCACCACACACAUCAGUUUCCCCACAAACCUCACCAUCAGACACACACAACCACCACCAGUACCCAGGCAUCACCAUGCAGCGUCACACUCAAAACAGCAGCAUCACAUUUGAACAGCCCAUGGUGAGGAAUUAAAGCAAGAGGGAAUAUUGCGUAAUAAUUGUAAGUACUCGGUAGGUUCCCACGUCACCUGUUCAAAGCAGACGAUUUUUUUUGCUUUUGCUACUUUUUGCUAUUGUGGCAGUAUGUACUUUGUUUAUUUGACAGUUUCAUCAAAUUUAUCUUAUUUUCUGAGUAAUUGCGUUUUUAAUAAUGUUUUAAGUGCAACAGGAACCGAAUUCUUGAGUAAUGAAAGAUGAGGCUACAAGAAGAAGCAGAGGAAAUUCCGAAAUGGACGUCGGUGUGUGUUUUUCCAUCUUAUUUCACCAUUUUAUCCUCAGGAAAUCUCUGCUGGGGAGACUGGUCACUUGAUAGCAACAAGAACUGACGUCAGUUGACCAAGACACCACUAGGAAUUGACAUUAGCUGACCAAGACAGGACCAGAAAUUGACACCCACUUGCCACAAUAUCAUUAUUUCUCCCAGCUGUGAAGAACAUGCGAGCACUUGGGAGUUGCUUCCAUCAUGGGAGUGUCCCUCAAGAGUAGGAGCCACCCCUCUCACUGACCUGAGUCACCUGACCCUAUCAGAUUGACACAGAAGAGUGAAGGACUGCCUGCUGCCUUGAUGCAAGAAAGUUUAGGCUGCCAUCUCACUCCUGCAUUGACAGCUGAUUUGUGCUGAAGCCCACCAGUCCAGUCAAGCCAGGAGGGACCAGGUGAUCAGUGCUGAGGAGUGGAGAGUGGGAUGGCAGGAAUUAGAAGCUUUAAGAGGUUCUGAAGAAGAGAUGAAGUGGAAGAUGAACCUGGGGGCUGUCAGCUUUGUGGAAUCCUGGUAAAAUUGGAGGAUGAACUCCGCUGCCUGUCAAAUCUGUCCUGAAGUGAAGUGCUCUGACUGAAUUGGGCCUUCCGUCAUCACAGUUGAAGAGAACCCAGCUCUGUCUGAACCCUGCCUGUCAGUUGCUAAACAUUGCAGAAGAUGGAGCCGUGGGUGAACCAAAGCCAUACGUGAACCCGGCAAGAAAGUGGUGUUGCUGUCCUGAGGCUCAGGAGCACCAAUUCACUGUCCACCCUCCUUCAUCAUGGAAAGAUGUGUAUGAACAAAGAAAUUACUUGAUGAAAAAUAAAACUCACUGUAAUUUGUCAAAUUUAAUAAUUGUAUUGUGAAAAAAAAAUUAAAUUUGCUUAAUAAUUAUAA